UACGGAGGGUGCAAGCGUUAUCCGGAUUCACUGGGCGUAAAGGGUGCGCAGGCGGCCAGGUGUGUUAGGCGUGAAAGCCCGGGGCUUAACCCCGGAAUUGCACCUAAAACUACAUGGCUAGAGCAUUGGAGAGGGUAGCGGAAUUCACGGUGUAGCAGUGAAAUGCGUAGAUAUCCGGAGGAACACCGGUGGCGAAGGCGGCUUCCUGGACCGAUACUGACGCUGAGGCGCGAAAGCUAGGGGAGCAAACGGG
rnacentral:rRNA from 1 species